rnacentral:rRNA from 1 species
AUUGAACGCUGGCGGCAUGCCUUACACAUGCAAGUCGAACGGUAACGGGCCUUCGGGUGCCGACGAGUGGCGAACGGGUGAGUAAUACAUCGGAACGUGCCCGAUCGUGGGGGAUAACGAGGCGAAAGCUUUGCUAAUACCGCAUACGAUCUACGGAUGAAAGCAGGGGACCGCAAGGCCUUGCGCGGACGGAGCGGCCGAUGGCAGAUUAGGUAGUUGGUGGGAUAAAAGCUUACCAAGCCGACGAUCUGUAGCUGGUCUGAGAGGAUGAUCAGCCACACUGGGACUGAGACACGGCCCAGACUCCUACGGGAGGCAGCAGCGGGGAAUUUUGGACAAUGGGCGCAAGCCUGAUCCAGCCAUGCCGCGUGCAGGAUGAAGGCCUUCGGGUUGUAAACUGCUUUUGUACGGAACGAAAAGCCUUCUUUUAAUACAGGAGGGUCAUGACGGUACCGUAAGAAUAAGCACCGGCUAACUACGU